rnacentral:rRNA from 1 species
GGGUUUGACAUACACCGGAAAACCGUAGAGAUACGGUCCCCCUUGGUGGUCGGUGUACAGGUGGUGCAUGGCUGUCGUCAGCUCGUGUCGUGAGAUGUUGGGUUAAGUCCCGCAACGAGCGCAACCCUUGUCUUAUGUUGCCAGCACGUGAUGGUGGGGACUCGUAAGAGACUGCCGGGGUCAACUCGGAGGAAGGUGGGGACGACGUCAAGUCAUCAUGCCCCUUAUGUCCAGGGCUUCACACAUGCUACAAUGGCCAGUACAGAGGGCUGCGAGACCGUGAGGUGGAGCGAAUCCCUUAAAGCUGGUCUCAGUUCGGAUCGGGGUCUGCAACUCGACCCCGUGAAGUCGGAGUCGCUAGUAAUCGCAGAUCAGCAACGCUGCGGUGAAUACGUUCCCGGGCCUU